UUUAGCCUUGAUUAAAAUGGCAUUCUUUUUUUAUUUUUCUUAAAAAAGAUAUAAUGGAAAGCAGGAAGUA
rnacentral:sRNA from 1 species